rnacentral:rRNA from 1 species
AGUGAACGCUGGCGGUAGGCCUAACACAUGCAAGUCGAACGGCAGCACAGUAAGAGCUUGCUCUUACGGGUGGCGAGUGGCGGACGGGUGAGGUAUACAUCGGACUUUACUUUUUCGUGGGGGAUAACGUAGGGAAACUUACGCUAAUACCGCAUACGACCUACGGGUGUAUGCAGGGGAUCUUCGGACCUUGCGCGCUUGAAUGAGCCGAUGUCGGAUUAGCUAGUUGGCGGGGUAACGGCCCACCAAGGCGACGAUCCCUAGGUGGUCUGAGAGGAUGAUCAGCCACACGAGAGUUGGAAGGCGCUUCAGGCGCGUACGGGAGGCAGCAGUGAGGAAGUUGGGACAAUGUGCGCAACCCUGAACCAGCCAUACUGUGUGGGUGUAGAAUGCCUUCGUGUUGUAAAGCCCUUGUGUUGGGAAAGAAAAGCAGCAGGUUAAUACCGCGCUGUUCUGACGGUACCCGAAGAGUAAGCACCGGCCAACUUCGU